CCAGACACGCCAUUCCUAGUAUGACAGGAGCAUUGGCCUUGAGGAAUGUAAGAGAUUGUGCUUGAAAAAUUGCAGCUGUACAGCUUAUUCUAAUAUAGAUGUAAGAGAUGGUGGAAGUGGAUGCUUGCUCUGGUUUGGAGACCUAACUGAUAUUAGUUAUUUGGAUGAAGAUGAUCAAGAUCUGUACAUAAGGAUUGCUGCAUCAGAUUUUGAUAUCUCUCAAAAUGGACAGAAGAAACAAGAGGUGACGAAGAUAGUUAUACCCACAAUUUCAGGGAUACUUAUUCUAAGCUUUUUGGUUUGGUUUGCACUAUAUAAAAGGAAAAAAGGAGCUAAGAUAGACAAGGAAGACUGUGAUU